AUUGAACGCUGGCGGCAUGCCUUACACAUGCAAGUCGAACGGCAGCACGGGAGCUUGCUCCUGGUGGCGAGUGGCGAACGGGUGAGUAAUACAUCGGAACGUACCCUGAAGUGGGGGAUAACGUAGCGAAAGUUACGCUAAUACCGCAUAUUCUGUGAGCAGGAAAGAGGGGGAUCGCAAGACCUCUUGCUUUAGGAGCGGCCGAUGUCGGAUUAGCUAGUUGGUGAGGUAAAGGCUCACCAAGGCGACGAUCCGUAGCGGGUCUGAGAGGAUGACUCCGCCACACGUGGGACUGAGACACGGCCCAGACUCCG
rnacentral:rRNA from 1 species